rnacentral:tRNA from 1 species
AAGGAGGUGGCAGAGUGGUUAUGCGGCUGGCUUGAAACCAGUAUAUGGGGGUUCAAUUCCUCCCUUCCUCG